rnacentral:rRNA from 1 species
UGAGGAAUAUUGGUCAAUGGGCGCAAGCCUGAACCAGCCAUCCCGCGUGCAGGAAGACGGCCCUAUGGGUUGUAAACUGCUUUUCCAGGGGGAGAAUUUUUCUGUCGUGACAGGAAUUGACGGUACCCUGGGAAUAAGCAUCGGCUAACUCCGUGCCAGCAGCCGCGGUAAUACGGAGGAUGCGAGCGUUAUCCGGAUUUAUUGGGUUUAAAGGGUGCGUAGGCGGAUUGAUAAGUCAGUGGUGAAAACCUGCAGCUUAACUGUAGACUUGCCGUUGAUACUGGCAGUCUUGAGUGUGGUUGAGGUAGGCGGAAUGUGUAAUGUAGGGGUGAAAUGCUUAGAUAUUACGGAGAACACCGAUUGCGAAGGCAGCUUACUGGGCCAUUACUGACGCUGAUGCACGAAAGCG